rnacentral:misc_RNA from 1 species
GGAAAUCAAGAAUGGCUGCAAAAAUAAUUUGGCAUUGUCUCCACUCUUUCUACAUGCUGUGUUGAAUUUGGUGGCUUCUGGCUCUACGGGACGUAUUUUGGAGCAGUUGCUAAGCUUUCUUGAAUCCGAAAGCAUUGGCUACCUAAAUGCUCAAUCUUCACAAAUGAUGACUCUUGUAACAACCACUGAGGAAUUUCUUGAACCUGAAAACACUGGUGAUCUCAAUUAUUCCCAGUCUUCCCAGACAACCACAGAAGAAGGAUCUUCCAGGAGAAGCAAUGAACUGCAAAAUAACCCAUCUGUGUUUGGGUUUUCGUUUCAUCGCUCUCCACCAUUUGGCAGUGUUGGAUUUGGUAACAGAGUCACAGGACCAUCAUCCUUAUUUUCAAGCACGGAUGAAUCGACCUAGUGUCCCUUUUCUUCUGCUAAUGGAAAUGCAGGAUCUUUGGGAUAAUUCACUUUUUAUCCCAAAUUCACCAGGUUACUAU